rnacentral:rRNA from 1 species
AACGAACGCUGGCGGCAUGCCUAACACAUGCAAGUCGAACGGGAUCCUAGCUUGCUAGGUGAGAGUGGCGGACGGGUGAGUAACACGUGGGAAUCUGCCUUUUGGUUCGGGAUAACCGCGGGAAACUGCGGCUAAUACCGAAUGCCCUCGAGAGAGGAAAGAUUUAUCGCCAGAAGAGGAGCCCGCGUCCGAUUAGGUAGUUGGUGGGGUAAAGGCCUACCAAGCCGACGAUCGGUAGCUGGUCUGAGAGGAUGAUCAGCCACACUGGGACUGAGAUACGGCCCAGACUCCUACGGGAGGCAGCAGUGGGGAAUAUUGGACAAUGGGGGCAACCCUGAUCCAGCAAUGCCGCGUGAGUGAUGAAGGCCUUAGGGUGUAAAGCUCUUUUGCCAGGGAAGAUGAUGACUGUACCUGGAGAAUAAGCCCCGGCUAACUUCGUGCCAGCAGCCGCGGUAAU